rnacentral:rRNA from 2 species
UCCUUCGCGAGCAGACUCACAUGUGGUGCAUGGUUGUUGUCAGCUCGUGUCGUGAGAUGUUGGGUUAAGUCCCGCAACGAGCGCAACCCUUGAUCUUAGUUGCCAUCAUUAAGUUGGGCACUCUAAGGUGACUCCCGGUGACAAACCGGAGGAAGGUGGGGAUGACGUCAAAUCAUCAUGCCCCUUAUGACCUGGGCUACACACGUGCUACAAUGGACGGUACAAAGAGCUGCAAGACCGCGAGGUGGAGCUAAUCUCAUAAAACCGUUCUCAGUUCGGAUUGUAGGCUGCAACUCGCCUACAUGAAGCUGGAAUCGCUAGUAAUCGCGGAUCAGCAUGCCGCGGUGAAUACGUUCCCGGGCCUUGUACACACCGCCCGUCACACCACGAGAGUUUGUAACACCCGAAGUCGGUGGGGUAACCUUUUUGGAGCCAGCCGCCUAAGGUGGGACAGAUGAUUGGGGUGAAGU